GAGAAUGCCAGCUUCCCUUCCCCCCAAACUCAGGUCUGGGGAUGGGUAUUGGGGUUUGUGAUGAAUUUGGAAAGUGGAAAGAAACCAAGAGGUAAAGAGAGGCCACCUCUGAAGGUGGAUGCCUGGAUCUCUGGGGGAGGCAUGGGUCUGCCCAGAAGGAAGCUGGGCUGGUGGGAACCCUCCCUACCCCAAGAGGGAGGGAAGGAGGGAAGACACUGAGGGCCACUGGGCUCUGGGUAAGCCAGUCAGACUGCACACAGGUGUGCCAGGGCUGGGAUUCCUGCCCAGGACACCCAGCACUGCUCUACCAGGUGGGCAAAGCUCAUUCCGCUCCCCUAGGAGGAAGGGAGCGGCUAGCCCUGAUUGAUGCAACCAGCUGGGCUCCCGUGCAACUGAGCUUGCUUGUACCCAUGGCUGCAGGCAGCUGGACAACUGGCAGCGCUGAAGGGAGCACUGGCCUCAGCCCCUCUCUCUCCUGUCCCCCGGUCUCCUCAAACUGCUGCUGAGACAUUCAAACCGCAGCCUCCUCUACCUGGUGAAGACACCGAGGCCCAGGGAGGUUGGGUGUCAUGCCAAAAGUCAAGAAGCAAAGUGCAGAGUAGGGCCAGAUCUGUCUGGCUUCUGACCCCUCACCACGGCUUUCGACAUGAUUUAGUAAUGCAGCCUCUGCAUCCUGAGUGUGUUCUCCUUGGGUCUGACCCGAAUCUCUCCUCCCCUCACCUGAGUUGGAUUUGAUGGAACAACCAUAGUGUACUUGCCUUCCUGUCACCUGGUCCUGUGGCAGAGUCUCCCACAUCUCUCCUGAACCAUGGCAGAAGACUCAAGCCGCCAGCCUCCUCUCUGAGCGUUUCCUGUUGCCUUCCAUUCUUUCCCUGCCACCAGGGAGAUCAGCUUAAAACCAGACUUUUUGACUUCAGGCUGCAGCCCAUUAUGUGUGUCCCAUGGGUCAUGGGUAAAAAACAUCUCACCCUGGAAAGUAGCAGUCAAAUCUGUUUGGAAAUCUCAUGCUUAACGUAUAGCCCAGAUCAUGCCGUCUCGCUUCUUUUCAAGAAAUUAUCAAUGGAGGAGUCCUACUUACUUCAGAUCUCUCUCCAUGUGCGUUUGUGUGCGUGCGUGUGUGUGCGUGCGUGUGUGUGCGUGCAUGUGUGUGUGUGUGUGUGUAGGGAGUGGCAUUUUGGAGUGAGUUUAUUGAAGUCUAAAACAUACAUAAGGUACACAAAUCGUGUGCACAGCUCAAUGAGUUUCACAGAGCCAGCAGGUCUGUGCACACAUUACCCAGCCAAGAAAUCGUACUCAGCCAGCACCAGAGGCCCUUGGACCCCUCUCAUCUCUCUCUGCCUUACCCUGACCCUAUAAGGCCAACCAUGUCCUGACUUCUACCGUCAAAAAUUAAUUUGCCUCAAAAAAAUGUAUAUAAUGAAACAAUAUUAUUUUGUGUCUGGCUUAUUUUACUAUUCUAUUUGCUAACCAGCUAUAUACAUGCAUGUAGCAUAUACACAUACCUAUAUACACAUAUACCCAUACAUGUAUGUAACAUAUACAUUUGUGUAUUUAUGAAUAUCACAUGUGUGAAAAAAUGUGUAUAAAAUGUGUCUCCCUUUUUGCUGAAAUAUUUAAAAUA